UGUUAUAGGUAGCUGUAAGUUAUGUGCUUUGUAUGUGUGGUUCGUGAAUGUCCGGAGAGUAUGUUCGUGUGAUGUAUGUUUGUAAUAAACUGGUUUGACCACUGACGGACAGGACAGGGCAGGACAUGCGCAAUGCGUUUCUUCUUCUUUCUUUCUAUCCCUUUUUGGCGCUCUUUCCCCAGUUCCACUCUGUACAUUGGUCAGAGAAGACGGUCAUUCUUAUGCCAACUUUUCAUACAUUUUCUAAAUACGUCCUGGGCACCACAUGCCAAGGACUUUUCUACCUGUACUUAUCAAUAUGUGCAAGUAAACAUGUGAACAGAA